rnacentral:rRNA from 1 species
GAUGAACGCUGGCGGCGUGCCUAAUACAUGCAAGUCGAGCGAACAGACGAGGAGCUUGCUCCUCUGACGUUAGCGGCGGACGGGUGAGUAAUACGUGGAUAACCUACCUAUAAGACUGGGAUAACUUCGGGAAACCGGAGCUAAUACCGGAUAAUAUAUUGAACCGCAUGGUUCAAUAGUGAAAGACGGUUUUGCUGUCCCUUAUAGAUGGAUCCGCGCCGCAUUAGCUAGUUGGUAAGGUAACGGCUUACCAAGGCAGCGAUGCGUAGCCGACCUGAGAGGGUGAUCGGCCACACUGGAACUGAGACACGGUCCAGACUCCUACGGGAGGCAGCAGUAGGGAAUAUUCCGCAAUGGGCGAAAGCCUGACGGAGCAACGCCGCGUGAGUGAUGAAGGUCUUCGGAUCGUAAAACUCUGUUAUUAGGGAAGAACAAAUGUGUAAGUAACUAUGCACGUCUUGACGGUACCUAAUCAGAAAGCCACGGCUAACUACGUG